rfam:Gossypium raimondii chromosome 9, whole genome shotgun sequence.
AUAGCGGCGUUUUUUUUAAAAACGCCACAAAAAAUAUUCCACAAAAGAUUAU